rnacentral:tRNA from 1 species
UGGCUCAGUUGGUAGAGCAUGGCACUUUCAAUGCCAAGGUUGCAGGUUCAAUUCCCAU